rnacentral:piRNA from 1 species
UAGCACACAGACCUUUC